rnacentral:rRNA from 1 species
UACGGGAGGCAGCAGUAGGGAAUAUUGGGCAAUGGGCGAGAGCCUGACCCAGCCAUGCCGCGUGCAGGAAGAAGGCUUUCUGAGUCGUAAACUGCUUUUGAUAGGGAAGAAUAACCAGUACGUGUACUGGGAUGACGGUACCUACAGAAUAAGCACCGGCUAACUCCGUGCCAGCAGCCGCGGUAAUACGGAGGGUGCGAGCGUUGUCCGGAUUUAUUGGGUUUAAAGGGUGCGUAGGCGGCCCGUUAAGUCCGGGGUGAAGCCCGCUGCUCAACAGCGGAACUGCCCUGGAUACUGGCGGGCUUGAGUACAGACGAGGUUGGCGGAAUGGACCGAGUAGCGGUGAAAUGCAUAGAUACGGUCCAGAACCCCGAUUGCGAAGGCAGCUGACUAGGCUGUUACUGACGCUGAGGCACGCAGCGUGGGGAGCGAACAGGGAUUAGAUACC